rnacentral:rRNA from 1 species
AUACGUAGGAGGCGAGCGUUGUCCAGAUUUACUGGGCGUAAAGGGCGAGUAGGCGGCAUGUCAAGUCUCAUGUGAAAUCUCCCGGCUCAACUGGGAGGCGCCAUGGGAAACUGGCAAGCUUGAGGGCAGCAGAGGAGAGUGGAAUUCCCGGAGUAGCGGUGAAAUGCGUAGAUACCGGGAGGAACACCCGAGGCGAAGGCGACUCUCUGGGCUGCUCCUGACGCUGAGGCGCGAAAGCAUGGGGAGCGAACCGGAUUAGAAACCCGUGUAGUCC